UCCGCUGUAGCACACAGGCCAA
rnacentral:siRNA from 1 species